AACGAACGCUGGCGGCGCGCCUAAUACAUGCAAGUCGAGCGAGAAGACGUAGCAAUACGUUUGUAAAGCGGCGAACGGGUGAGGAAUACAUGGGUAACCUACCCUCGAGUGGGGAAUAACUAGCCGAAAGGUUAGCUAAUACCGCGUACGCUCCUUGGACUUCGGUUCAGGGAGGAAAGCGAUACCGUGGGUAUCGCGCUCUUGGAUGGGCUCAUGUCCUAUCAGCUUGUUGGUGAGGUAACGGCUCACCAAGGCUUCGACGGGUAGCUGGUCUGAGAGGACGAUCAGCCACACUGGCACUGCGACACGGGCCAGACUCCUACGGGAGCAGCAGUAAGGAAUAUUGCGCAAUGGGCGAAAGCCUGACGCAGCGACGCCGCGGU
rnacentral:rRNA from 1 species